GCCCCGUUCGUCCAGUGGUGAGGACAUCAGAUUUUCACUCUGAAGACAGGAGUUCAAUUCUCCUACGGGGUACCA
rnacentral:tRNA from 1 species